UGGGGAUGACGUCAAGUCAUCAUGGCCCUUACGGCCUGGGCUACACACGUGCUACAAUGGUCGGUACAAAGGGUUGCCAAGCCGCGAGGUGGAGCUAAUCCCAUAAAACCGAUCGUAGUCCGGAUCGCAGUCUGCAACUCGACUGCGUGAAGUCGGAAUCGCUAGUAAUCGUGAAUCAGAAUGUCCACGGUCGAAUACGUUCCCGGGCCUU
rnacentral:rRNA from 1 species